AGAUCGUAGGCUGCAACUCGCCUACGUGAAGGAGGAAUCGCUAGUAAUCGCAGGUCAGCAUACUGCGGUGAAUACGUUCCCGGGCCUUGUACACACCGCCCGUCACACCAUGGAAGUUGGCCACGCCCGAAGCCGUUACUCCAACCCUUGUGGAGGAGGACGUCGAAGGUGGGGCUGAUGACUGGGGUGAAGUCGUAACAAGGUAUCCGUACCGGAAGGUGCGGAUGGAUCACCUCCUAA
rnacentral:rRNA from 2 species